GACGAACGCUGGCGGCGUGCCUAAUACAUGCAAGUAGAACGCUGAAGAGAGGAGCUUCCUCUUCUUGGAUGAGUUGCGAACGGGUGAGUAACGCGUAGGUAACCUGCCUUGUAGCGGGGGAUAACUAUUGGAAACGAUAGCUAAUACCGCAUAACAAUGGAUGACACAUGUCAUUUAUUUGAAAGGGGCAAUUGCUCCACUACAAGAUGGACCUGCGUUGUAUUAGCUAGUAGGUGAGGUAAUGGCUCACCUAGGCGACGAUACAUAGCCGACCUGAGAGGGUGAUCGGCCACACUGGGACUGAGACACGGCCCAGACUCCUACGGGAGGCAGCAGUAGGGAAUCUUCGGCAAUGGGGGCAACCCUGACCGAGCAACGCCGCGUGAGUGAAGAAGGGUUUCGGAUCGUAAAGCUCCGUUGUAAGUCAAGAACGGGUGUGAGAGUGGAAAGUUCACACUGUGACGGUAGCUUACCAGAAAGGGACGGCUAACUACGUG
rnacentral:rRNA from 1 species